GUAGUCAUACGCUCGUCUCAAAGAUUAAGCCAUGCAUGUGUAAGUAUAAAUAGUUAACUUUGAAACUGCGAAUGGCUCAUUAUAUCAGUUAUAGUUUAUUUGAUGAAGAAUACUAAUUGGAUAACCGUAGUAAUUCUAGAGCUAAUACAUGUAUAAAGUCUUGUAGACUGCAUUUAUUAGAAUGAAAACCAUAGGUUUCGGCCUAUUCGUGAGUAAUAAUAACUAAUCAUAUCGUAUGCUUAUGUAACGAUGUGUCUUUCAAGUUUCUGCCCUAUCAGCUU
rnacentral:rRNA from 1 species